CCCCAUUUCCUUAUCCUCACUUCAUUAAUUUUCAAUAACCCUCACCCUCGAUUCUCACCGUCACUCUUACCCUCUCGCCGCCUCACCGUCACUCUCACCCUCUCGCCGCCGCUCUGUUUCCCUCGCCUCACACUCAAUCUCGCGACCUCACUCUCACUCUCACUCUCACUCUCACUCUCGUUCACUCAUCUCUCAGACUCACUCUCGUCUCUCAAACUCACUGUCACGUUCGUCUUUCAGGCUCACUCUCACUGUCGUCCAUUCUCAAUAUAAGUGAGGACCUCGUUUGCUAGCUGGUGGUGAUCCUCUAUUCUCUUACAAUUUGUUUAAGAUUUCUUUAUCAUUGUCAACAACGAGCAAACCACUUUUUACUAGGUGGAGUUGAGUGGGGCUGAGUGCAUGGCUCAAUCGGUACUUUUAAGUCUUGUUAUGUAUUAGUUUGGUGAUCAAGAUGGAACAGGCUCUGAAGUACUUCUUCAACAUCCGCUGGGGGUUGUGUGUAGCAACGAUGUCAUAAUUUAUAUUGCGGAUUGCUACAAUCACGAGAUCAAGAAGUUAGAUCCUAACAGUAAAAGAGUUAGCACCAUUGCAGGAACAUGGAAAGCUGGUUUUGAGUGAUGGAAUUGCUGCAACAGCUCAGGCAAUUAUACAGAAUUUGGCGCUGUUCUUUACCUCGUUUUACAAGCUUCAAUAAGUAUCAGAGUUCAGUUUCAAAAAUUAGCACUUUACAUUGGUUGGUCAAAGAUCCAAGGAUUCAACAAUGUCUGGAUUUGGUGAAGAAGCUGUUGGAGGAAAUAUCAACAUAACACCUUUAUUUGAUGGUGAACGAUUUGAGUAUUGGAAUGACAUGCUUAAGAGUUUCUUUAUCUCACAAGGUCCUAAACUUUGGAAUUUAGUCGAAGAUGGCUACACUACUCCAACAAAUUCUGAUAGGACUGAAAUUUCAAGGAAAUAGAUGGAUGUUGAACAAAAGAAGAUAUACAAGAUGCAUCACAAGUCAAAAAUAUUCAUGAUCAAUGCAAUCACCUUCAAAUAAUUUGAUAAGUGCACUAACAAAAAAAUAGCAAAAAGAAAGUUCAAGAAGCAAAGACCAACCUCCUGAAAGUAUGAGUUUUCCAAACUUUGGUUUCAUGAUUAAAGGUACUUGAGAAGAGUUAUACUACUGUUGAUCAUGUAAAGAAAUUUUUUAGGAGUAUGUCAAGUAAGUGGAGACCUAAGAUUACCACUAUUUCAGAAACUAAUGAUCUCAAUACUCUUAAUUUGGAAGAAUUGAUUAGCUCCUUGAGAUCACAUGAAAUUGAGCUUGCAGGGGAUGAGCCCAAGAAGAAGCAGCCCCCUUUGGUCUUUGAAUCCAAGCAGAAGAUGGUUUUGUAGGCAACAACAGAAUUAGAGGAUAAUGAUUCAGAUGAUCAGAAUAUGAACUCAUAGGAUGAGGAGUUGGCUUUCAUAUCCAAAAAAAUUCAGAAGAGGAAGGAUGAAAAAUCUGACAAGAAAAACAUCAAAUACUACACAUGCAAUGAGCUUGGACAUGUCAAGUCUAAAUGACCAAAUUUGGAAAAGAGGAAACAUCCGAGGAAAUAUUUCAAACCCAAGAAGAAGUUUUUGAUGGCUACAUUAUGAUUAUGAUGAAUCAUUUGAUGAUGAAGAGCAAGCAGUUUUGGCUCUGUAGCUCAUACCAACAAUGACUCUAGAUCCAACACAGACACUGAUUCUAACUCUAGAAGUGAAUUAGUUGAUGAAGAAAUUGAGUUAUUUUUCUUACUUAACCGAUUUGAUUUAAUUAAUGUCAUAAAUGAUUUCUUAAAUAAAAACCCCAAGUUUUCUCUAAAAUAGAAAACACUUAGGAAAGUAAAUGAAAACUUAACUAAAGAAAUGAAGGCCUUAAAAACUGAAAGUGUUGUGGUUAAAUAUGAAAAUAAAACCUUGAAGAUAAUAUUGUUUCAAAAUCUUUAGAAAAUGUCACAUGUAAUUCUGAUAAAUAUGAAGAAGCAUUCCAAGACUUUCUAGCUAAUAGUAUUGAAGAAAUAGUAAUUGAACCUAAACUUAUUCCCUCUGAUAUUAUGUGUGUUGUGUUCUCUAAGAAAGUUCACUUUAAAUUAUCUUGUCUCAUGUUAAAUACAAGGAAAAACAAGAAACCUUUCAAGACUAACAAGCCAAGACCCCAACAAAAUUUAGGUAUCUAAGAACAAAAUUAUCUAUGUUGCAAAUGUCCUCAACAAUCGAGUUAAAAACCCAAUCAUGGUAUCUGAACAGUAAAUGCUCGCGACAUAUGACGAGAAAAAAGUCUAUGUUGUAAAACCUAAGAUUGAUCAAAUGAGACACGAUAACUUUUGGAAGAAAGCACAUAAAUGUCAAAUCAGGGGGCAAGGCACAGUUGGUAUGGCACCUCUCCUAUUAAAGAUGUGUUGUUUGUUAAAGGUCUUAAACAUAAUUUAUUAAGUAUUAGACAAUUAAAUGAUAAUAAUUAUGAUAUUAUAUUUAAUAAAAAAACAUGAAAGGCAAUUAGUUUUUACAAGUCAUAGUCAAAAUAACAUAUAUAAGAUAAAUUUGUAUAGUCUAGAGAAACAAGAUGUUAAAUGUCUGAAGUUAGUAAAUGAAGAGAAAUUAAUUUGGCACAAAAGGUUAGGUCAUGCAAACCUUAUAUUAAUCUUAAAAUUGAAUAAACUUCAACUAGUUAGAGUUCUACCUAAGCUUAGCUACAAAACUUAAAUCAUGUGUGAAACUUGUCAAAAUGGAAAAUAUAGAACUCCUUUAUCCCUAAGAACUUCGUUUCUACAUCAAAACCCUUUCAACUCUUACAUAUAGAUCUCUUUGGGCCAGUGAAAACAACCUCAUUAAAUGGAAAUAAGUAUGGCUUUGUGAUAGUAGAUGAUUACAGUAGGUGGACUUGGGUAAAAUUAUUAAGAAAUAAAUAUGAAUGCAACAAAAGUGUUUACUGCAUUUAGCAAACAAGUAAUAACGAAAAGGGUCUUAAGAUUGUACUAGUUAGAAGUGAUCUUGGAGGAGAAUUUGAAAACAAGUUCUUUGAAAGUUUUUAUGAUGAGAAUGAAAUCUCUCAUAAUUUCUCCUUUGUCAGAACACCACAACAAAAUGGAGUUGUAGAAAGAAAGAAUAGAUCAAUUCAAGAAAUGGCCAGAAUCAUGCCCAAUGAGAUGAUUAUUGCAAAAUAUUUUUGGGUAGAUGCCAUUAACAUUGCAUGCUAUAUUCAAAAUAAAAUCUUAAUUAGGUUAAAUUAUUUAAUAAAACACCAUAUGAAUUAUGGAAAGGUAAAAAGCCUAACAUCUCUUACUUUAAACAAUUUAGUUGUACUUGUUAUAUGUUAAACACUAAUGACAACCUUGGCAUGUUUGAUUCUAGAUCACAAAAGUGCACCUUUAUAAAAGCUUAUAGAGUGUUUAAUUGGGAAACCUAGAUCGGAAGAGUCAAUACAUGUUAAAUUUGAUGACAAAUAGCUUGACCUUAAAAAGUUAAAGUAAGUUGAUGAUAAUGCAUGUUUAGUGGAACUAGAGAAAGCAUAUGCAGAAAAACCAGAAGAACUUGAUAGAUUAGAGGAUAAAAGUAAAUAAGAAAAAGAUGACAAAUGAUAAUAAGAUGAAUUUGAUCAAGUCAGUAGCAGUCAAGAUAAGUCAAAAGGGAGAUCUGGAUGGAAGUACAAGUCAAUCCAUCCUGAAACUUUGAUAAUUGGAAAUGAAAAUAAUUCUUUGAAGACUUGAUCAUCAGUGAAAGACACAAACUUUUUUGGUCUACUAUCAUUAAUUGAACCUACAUGUGUUGAUGAAGCACUAGAAGAUGAUGGAUGGAUCCUUGCAAUGCAAGAAGAGUUAAAUGAAUUUAAAAGAAUUGAUGUUUGGGAUCUAGUACCUAGACCAAAGAAAAACAUUAUUGGAACCAAGUGGAUUUUCAAAAACAAGCUAAAUGAAAAAGGAGAAGUGGUAAAAAACAAGGCAAAACUUGUUGCACAAGACUAUCGUUAGCAAGCUUGACUACACUGAGAUACUUGCUCUGGUGGCCAGGUUGUCAUUUCAUAAUGAUUACUUCCAUUAUAGCAUUGACUAUCUUGAGUGUUGGCUUUUUAUCAGAGUGUUGACUUUUAAACAGAUUCAGAAGAUCACAUGCUUGACAUAAUUAUCAGAGGUAUUAUUAAUUACCAGCAAAAAUUAGUACCUACUAUUUUUCACUAUUUUGAUCGUGAAAUAAGGACCUUAAAUAUCAACCUAAUUUUAUACCGCAUACCUAUCAUGACCAUGUUUUUCUCCUUACCACAUACAAACAAAACGAACACAACUUUUAUACCCGAAAAGGCAACUUAUAAACUUUUAUCCAUAUAUAAAUUGAGCUAAUUAAAUUAAUGAAUCCUAUACAUGAUAAUUCACUACUGCUACAAUCAAUUAAAGAAAAAAAAUUCAACUAUGAGGGCAUCAAAGAAAACAAUAAUUGCGUUGUUGAUUUGCUUGGUGAUUACUAUGGCCUCUGUUAAAAGGACAGAGGCUCUAUCUGAUUGUGCCAAACAAUGCAUGCCUGUGUGCUUGAAGGAGGAGGGUGCUACAAUCGAUGCAUGUGGGACAGCUUGUGAGAACUAUUGUGCUCAAGUUACUGCGACGGGGAAAACAAAAACUUGAUAGUGUAAUUGGUUUAGUUAUGAAAUCGAAUCUAGGAGAGGAAACUCAAUUGCCAGAAUUGUUAUUUAAAAUAACUUUGUUUUAAUAAUGAUUGCUGUCUUUAACAAAAUACAUAUAGCCGAUAUGUUGCAACUCU